GAGGAGAAAGAGCCAAAGGCAAUAAAAAAGCCACCAGAAUUGAAAGAACUUCCUCCUAAAUGGAAGUAUGUGUUUUUGGGUGGCGACUCUAGGAAACCUAUGAUCAUAAGUAAUUUGCUCACUCCACUAGAAGAGAAUGACUUGUUAAAAGAAGCGGAGAAAGUGAAUGAUGACCUAGGAUGGGACUUGAAUGGUGUGGUUCCUAUCUAUUGUUUGUACAAGGUGGGCAAAGAAGAAGAGCCCAAUCCGGUUGUUAAUCCUCAAAAGUCUUCCACUUCAACAUUGAAAGCUUCGGUGAAGAAAGGUUCUAAGAAAUCUCCAUCACGGUCUAGUAAGAAGGAAAGAACCAAUUUGAAGGUCAAAUGGGAAGGUCUCAAGAGUGAUUCGGGAAGCGUGAAAUCAUUACUAUUUGAUAUUAAUAUUGC
rnacentral:lncRNA from 1 species